rnacentral:rRNA from 1 species
GACGAACGCUGGCGGCGUGCCUAAUACAUGCAAGUAGAACGCAGUUGCGAACGGGUGAGUAACGCGUAGGUAACUGCCUCAUAUCGGGGGAUAACUAUUGGAAACGAUAGCUAAUACCGCAUACUGUGAGAUGUACCUGCGUUGUAUUAGCUAGUUGGUGAGGUAAAGGCUCACCAAGGCGACGAUACAUAGCCGACCUGAUAGGGUGAUCGGCGAAACUGGAACUGAGACACGGCCCAGACUUCUACAGGAGGCAGCAGGAGGGAAUAUGCGGCAAUGGACGGAAGGCGUAGCGAGCAACGCCGAGUGAGUGAAGAAGGUUUUCUGAUCGUAAGGCUCGAUUGUUAGAGAAGCGGAAACUGACCAGAAAGGGACGGCUAACUACGUGCUAGCAGCCGCGGUAAGUG